UCUUCUUCCUGCGUGUUUAAUUUAAGCUUGCAUAGCUAAAUCUGACUCACUAAAUCUAAUCUGAUUUCACGUCGGACCUUUAGAUUUACUUGUCAAACGGGUGCGUUCAGCCCUCCUUGUAGUGUUUAUGCACAAAUCAGGUGUUUCUUUAGCAGAGGUAAGUGGCUGCGGGGCGUUAGAGGUCAUGAUUAGUCAGAAAUCAUGGCAAGCUGAGAGAGUUAAAGACGUCGUCGCGGCGCAUCGGCUGGGUUUGCUGUGCAGGAUGAAAGGAGGAAAGCGUUUGCUGGCAUUGACUCAAGAAGAAGAAAAAAAUACCGCAGUGCAAUUAUGCAUGAAGAUGAAAUGAGCUCAGAUGGGGUUUUUUUCUUCCACCUACUCGUCUGUUUCAUUCAUCAGGAAGAAAACAAAGAAUCAGGAGAAUACGGCUUAAUUUGCUGCCUGAUUACAAACACUCAUCAGCUAUUGUUGUCAGGUUCCACUUCCUGGUUCUGAAUCAGCACCAUUGUUUCAGGAAAUGAUGGGAACCUGUAGCGGCUCAUUUUCAGCGUUUUUACCUUCAGGAGCCUCUGAGCUUUCAUCCAGCAGGCUCCCAGUCUGAGCGCAGAGAAACCAGUUACACACCAGCAGGGCAGACUGGUGAGGCAGGCGGAGGGUUCUGAUCCAAAUGGUUCGGACAGCAUGGCACCAGACCCGAUUCCCAACACUGAUCCUGGAUUCAGAGAGGACCAAACCUCACAGGUGACGCUGCGUAGCAACAGUUUCACUUUUUAAGGAGCUUUAAAGUGAGGAAAGUAAAACUAUCCAUUUUCCCAAGAUCACAAUGUUUACUGUUUAUGGAUGGAUGGAUCCAUAAACAUCACUCCGUCCGUCCGUCUAUGAUUAAUAAUUUGAUUUUUCUCAGCAUCAGAGGAAACCAGUUAGCUUUAGCCUAGCGUCUCUUAAACUGUUGAAUCUGGUCAAUAAUUUACUGCACUGCUCCUUUCACUUUGAAUUAAAAUAUUAUUAUAAAGUGUCA